rnacentral:rRNA from 1 species
GAUGAACGCUGGCGGCGUGCCUAAUACAUGCAAGUCGAGCGAACGGACGAGAAGCUUGCUUCUCUGAUGUUAGCGGCGGACGGGUGAGUAACACGUGGAUAACCUACCUAUAAGACUGGGAUAACUUCGGGAAACCGGAGCUAAUACCGGAUAAUAUUUUGAACCGCAUGGUUCAAAAGUGAAAGACGGUCUUGCUGUCACUUAUAGAUGGAUCCGCGCUGCAUUAGCUAGUUGGUAAGGUAACGGCUUACCAAGGCAACGAUGCAUAGCCGACCUGAGAGGAUGGUCGGCAAGACGGGAACUGAGAAACGGUCGAGACCGCUAAGGGAGGCAGCAGAAGUGAAUAUUAGGCAACGGGCGAAAGCAGGACGGAGGAACGCAGCGUGAGGGAUGAAGGGCAUAGGAUCGGAAAAAUUUGGUAUAAGGGAAGAACAUAUGUGUAAGUAACUGUGCAGAACUUGACGGAACCAAAUCAGAAAGCCACGGAUAAAUAAGUG